rnacentral:lncRNA from 1 species
AAUAUUAAAACAAUGCACUGGCAUAUCUUUAACAUCUAAUCUAAUAUGUCGAAUAUUUGUAUUGUCAUCAAUCCAGAUCAUUAUGGCUAAAGUAGCUAAUGUAUUAGCAAUUUAAUUCUCUUCUCAAAGUAAAUGGUUAAACUAGAUUGCUUUAAAUUGUUUAAUUAGCUCUUAGAUGUAUUUAUGAUAAGGGAUGAGCUUCGAGUCUCUUAUCUUCAUUCUCUCUUUAACUAAUAAAUGAUCAAAGUUGAAUCGCUAUACACCUUCAAUACUUUAAUCUUU